AGCGAACGCUGGGGGCAGGCCUAACACAUGCAAGUCGAACGGAUCCUUCGGGAUUAGUGGCGGACGGGUGAGUAACACGUGGGAACGUGCCCUUUGGUUCGGAACAACUCAGGGAAACUUGAGCUAAUACCGGAUGUGCCCUUCGGGGGAAAGAUUUAUCGCCAUUGGAGCGGCCCGCGUCUGAUUAGCUAGUUGGUGAGGUAACGGCCCACCAAGGCGACGAUCAGUAGCUGGUCUGAGAGGAUGAUCAGCCACACUGGGACUGAGACACGGCCCAGACUCCUACGGGAGGCAGCAGUGGGGAAUCUUGCGCAAUGGGCGAAAGCCUGACGCAGCCAUGCCGCGUGAAUGAUGAAGGUCUUAGGAUUGUAAAAUUCUUUCAGCGGGGACGAUAAUGACGGUACCCGCAGAAGAAGCUCCGGCUAACUUCGUG
rnacentral:rRNA from 1 species